CCGCGCUGUAAACGUUGUAUGCUGGACAUUGGUGAUAUACUGUCAGUGUCUGAGGGAAACCAUUAAGCAUACCACCUGGGGAGUACGCCGGCAACGGUGAAACUCAAAGGAAUUGACGGGGGCCCGCACAAGCGGAGGAACAUGUGGUUUAAUUCGAUGAUACGCGAGGAACCUUACCCGGGCUUGAAUUGCAGAGGAACAAUCCAGAGAUGGUGCGGCCCUUCGGGGUCUCUGUGAAGGUGCUGCAUGGUUGU
rnacentral:rRNA from 1 species